UACAGAGGGUGCAAGCGUUAAUCGGAAUUACUGGGCGUAAAGGGCGCGUAGGUGGUUAUGUAAGUGAAUGUGAAUCCCGGACCGUUAACCUGGGAACUGCAUUUUAGACUGCAUAGCUAGAGUACGGUAGAGGGGGAUGGAAUUCCGCGUGUAGCAGUGAAAUGCGUAGAUAUGCGGAGGAACACCGAUGGCGAAGGCAAUCCCCUGGACCUGUACUGACGCUCAUGCACGAAAGCGUGGGGAGCAAACAGG
rnacentral:rRNA from 1 species